rnacentral:tRNA from 1 species
AGCCCCUUAGUAUAAAAGUAUAUUUCACUUAGGAUGGAAAGGUCACUUAGGUGAGGGGUGG